CAUGGGAACCUACCCACCAGUGAGGGAUACCGGCGCGAAAGCGCCGACAAGCCCGCAUACGGUUUCUCUUUGGAGGAAGCAAAGCUCUUUCGGGGGCGCUGGUGGCUGGGCCUGUGGCCGAUUAGCUAGUUGGUGUGGUAAGAGCGCACCAAGGCGACGAUCGGUAGCUGGUCUGAGAGGACGAGCAGCCACACUGGGAUUGAGAACGGCCCAGACUCCUACGGGGGGCAGCAGUGAGGAAUUUUCCGCAAUGGAGGCAACUCUGACGGAGCAACGCCGCGUGCAGGAGGAAGCGCUUCGGCGUGUAAACUGCUUUUCUGUGGGACGAGCAAGGACGGUACCGCAGGAAGCAGCCCCGGCUAACUACGUGCCAGCAGCCGCGGUAAGACGUAGGGGGCGAGCGUUGUCCGGAGUUACUGGGCGUAAAGGGCCCGCAGGCGGGAGCGCGCGUUUGCUGUGACAGCUCGCGGCUAAACUGCGAGAGGGUAGCAAAGACGGCGCUUCUUGAGGGCCAGAGAGGGACCUGGAAGUCCGGGUGGAGCGGUGAAAUGCGUAGAGAUCCGGAGGAACACCGAAAGCGAAGGCAGGGUCCUGGCUGGCCCCUGACGCUCGUGGGCGAAAGCUAGGGGAGCGAACGGGAUUAGAUACCCCGGUAGUCCUAGCUGUAAACGAUGACCACUAGGCGUGCGGCGUAUCGACCCGCUGCGUGCCGUAGGCAACCCGCUAAGUGGUCCGCCUGGGGAGUACGGUCGCAAGAUUAAAACUCAAAGGAAUUGACGGGGACCCGCACAAGCAGCGGAGCGUGUGGUUUAAU
rnacentral:rRNA from 1 species